rnacentral:tRNA from 1 species
GGAGAUGUGGCUCAGUGGUAGAGUGCUUGCCAAGCAUGUGCAAGGCCCUGGGUUCAAUCCCCAGUACUGCCA